rnacentral:rRNA from 1 species
AGCGAACGCUGGCGGCAGGCCUAACACAUGCAAGUCGAACGAACUCUUCGGAGUUAGUGGCGGACGGGUGAGUAACACGUGGGAACGUGCCUUUUGGUUCGGAAUAACUCAGGGAAACUUGUGCUAAUACCGAAUGUGCCCUUCGGGGGAAAGAUUUAUCGCCAUUAGAGCGGCCCGCGUCUGAUUAGCUAGUUGGUGAGGUAACGGCUCACCAAGGCGACGAUCAGUAGCUGGUCUGAGAGGAUGACCAGCCACACUGGGACUGAGACACGGCCCAGACUCCUACGGGAGGCAGCAGUGGGGAAUCUUGUGCAAUGGGCGAAAGCCUGACGCAGCCAUGCCGCGUGAAUGAUGAAGGUCUUAGGAUUGUAAAAUUCUUUCACCGGGGACGAUAAUGACGGUACCCGGAGAAGAAGCCCCGGCUAACUUCGUG